ACUCCGGGGAUAACAGGCUGAUACCGCCCAAGAGUUCAUAUCGACGGCGGUGUUUGGCACCUCGAUGUCGGCUCAUCACAUCCUGGGGCUGAAGUAGGUCCCAAGGGUAUGGCUGUUCGCCAUUUAAAGUGGUACGCGAGCUGGGUUUAGAACGUCGUGAGACAGUUCGGUCCCUAUCUGCCGUGGGCGCUGGAGAACUGAGGGGGGCUGCUCCUAGUACGAGAGGACCGGAGUGGACGCAUCACUGGUGUUCGGGUUGUCAUGCCAAUGGCACUGCCCGGUAGCUAAAUGCGGAAGAGAUAAGUGCUGAAAGCAUCUAAGCACGAAACUUGCCCCGA
rnacentral:rRNA from 4 species